AAAUGCGAUAAGUAGUGUGAAUUGCAGAUUUCAGUGAAUCAUCGAAUCUUUGAACGCACAUUGCGCCCCUCGGCAUUCCGUGGGGCAUGCCUGUUCGAGCGUCAUCUACACCCUCAAGCUCUGCUUGGUGUUGGGCGUCUGUCCCGCCUCCGCGCGCGGACUCGCCCCAAAUGCAUUGGCAGCGGUUCCUUGCCCCCCUCUUUGCGCAGCACAUUGCCAUUCGAGGCGGCGGCGGCCCGCGUCCAACAAGCUCAACCCCCCCGUCUUUGACCUCGGAUCAGGUAGGGAUACCCGCUGAACUUAAGC
rnacentral:misc_RNA from 1 species